AGAGUUUGAUCCUGGCUCAGAGCGAACGCUGGCGGCGUGCUUAACACAUGCAAGUCGAGUGCGCGUCUGUAGCAAUACAGAUGGCGCACGGCGCACGGGUGCGUAACACGUGGGUAAUCUGCCCUUCGAUGGGGAAUAACUCGCCGAAAGGCGAGCUAAUUCCGCAUAACAUUCCUUGAACCUCGGUUUGGGGACUCAAAGCCGUAAGGCGUCGGAGGAGGAACCCGCGCACGAUUAGCUAGUUGGUAGGGUAACGGCCUACCAAGGCUUUGAUCGUUAGCUGGUCUGAGAGGAUGGCCAGCCACACUGGAACUGAGACACGGUCCAGACUCCUACGGGAGGCAGCAGUGGGGAAUCUUGCACAAUGGGCGAAAGCCUGAUGCAGCGACGCCGCGUGGGGGAUGAAGCUUUUCGGAGUGUAAACCCCUUUCGACCCGGACGAAUGCCCCGCAAGGGGACUGACGGUACGGGUAUAAGAAGCCCCGGCUAACUACGUGCCAGCAGCCGCGGUAAGACGUGGGGGGCCAGCGUUGCUCGGAAUUACUGGGUGUAAAGGGUUCGUAGGCGGUGUAGCAAGUCGGGAGUGAAAUCUCUGGGCUCAACCCAGAGACUGCUUCCGAAACUGCUGUGCUUGAGUGUGGGAGAGGCGCGUGGAAUUGCAGGUGUAGCGGUGAAAUGCGUAGAUAUCUGCAGGAACACCCGUGGCGAAAGCGGCGCGCUGGACCACUACUGACGCUGAGGAACGAAAGCUAGGGGAGCAAACAGGAUUAGAUACCCUAGUAGUCC
rnacentral:rRNA from 1 species